UGACGUCAAAUCAUCAUGCCCCUUAUGACCUGGGCUACACACGUGCUACAAUGGGCGGUACAAAGGGUCGCGAACCCGCGAGGGGGAGCCAAUCCCAAAGAGCCGCUCUCAGUUCGGAUUGCAGGCUGCAACUCGCCUGCAUGAAGCCGGAAUCGCUAGUAAUCGCGGAUCAGCAUGCCGCGGUGAAUACGUUCCCGGGCCUU
rnacentral:rRNA from 1 species